GAUGAACGCUGGCGGCGUGCCUCAAACAUGCAAGUCGAGCGGGGCUAUGUAAUAUCGCAAGGUAGAACAUAGCCUAGCGGCGAACGGGUGAGUAACACGUGGGUAACCUGCCUGGAAGACAGGGAUAACGAUUCGAAAGGGUCGCUAAUACCUGAUAAUAUCCUUUCAUCGCAUGGUGAUAGGAAGAAAGGGGAAACCCGCUUUCAGAUGGGCCCGCGUCCCAUCAGCUAGUUGGUAAGGUAAAGGCUUACCAAGGCGACGACGGGUAGCCGGUCUGAGAGGAUGUACGGCCACACUGGGACUGAGAUACGGCCCAGACUCCUACGGGAGGCAGCAGUUGGGAAUCUUAGGCAAUGGACGAAAGUCUGACCUAGCGACGCCGCGUGAGGGAAGAAGGCCUUCGGGUUGUAAACCUCUGUCAUGGGGAAGAAGUAAGUGACGGUACCCCAAGAGGAAGCCCCUGCGUAACUACGUGCCAGCACGCCGCGGUAAAAUAGACGUACU
rnacentral:rRNA from 1 species